UAUAUAUAUAUAUAUAUGAUAAAAUGAACAAAAAAAUUACACAUUAUAAAUGAUGGAAAAUCAUGCAAUUUGGCUUGAAGAACAACAAUGGUGCAUUAUGUUUUGGUUUAGGAUAUAACAUAUAUUUAGCAUAUAAACGAAAGCCUGUGGCUUCUGUGGCACAUUCUUACUAGCACAAAUGCUAGAUGGGAACACAAGUAUUGGCAACAGGCAUUAGAUACGAACACAUAUACACACACAUAUUCUCUGACACAUUUCUUCACGCACACAGUUCUAUCUUAGUCUAAAAUAACGAAGAUAAACCAAACUUGAAAUUAUCUUCAGUUCUUGCUACCUCUGACAUAAUGUUGUUAUAUUAGAAACCUGUUGCUUUAUGCGGCGGCAUUGUAACGUUCAGCCAACUCACUGAAGCUACCAGCAGUACAGCCCAUCUCUUAACGCUCAUCAUCUGCUAUAGUGAGUUGUCUAUGCUAUUCUCUUAUCAGUCUUUCAACAGCAACCAAGCCUGAAACUGAUCUGCAGUCUGUGCCAGCCGUUAUCAAUGCUGUCUACCGAGCUGGGUGCUCCAUCAGCGCAAAAGACAGUCUGUCAGGGCAUUGUGGGAUUGAUUGUUGUGGAUGGAGUAGAGGCCCAAGAGACUUGAGCCGAGCCCCAAGCCAAGGCAGCCGUUGCAGCCGAGGGUUGCGGUGUGAGAGGUUGAAGGAGGAGUGAAGGUACACGGAAAUGGUGAGAAGACCGCAUGAGCGUGAAGGUAGAAGGACCCUUUGCGACUUGAAAAACAACCACGUUUACCAGUGCAGUCCACAAACCAAUCAACGACACAAGGAGACCGUCACAUACAUAGCCUGCACACUCCGUUCGGAGUGAGAGCCACAUUAGGAUAAGUGCUGGGGAACCAGUGUAUCCCUAACAUUUGGUUACCACUAUAUGUGUCCUCUUUUAUGAAAACUCUCACUUUUCUAGCACUAUCUCCUCAUAUUUGGGUGGAGGAUCACUGUAGGGGGCUGUCGUCUCAUCGCUGCUGCUCUCUAAGUGGCCGGUAACUUCCUCGUAGGAUGGCGGCGGGGUUGCGCCAGACAGGUGGGAAGCCACGGACAAAGACGAAUCUUGCACGUACAGGGAGCGAUUGUUCUGAUUGUGGCUGGCGUGAUGAUGGGCGUCUUGCGGCGUGACUGAAGCCCCGCCCCUCUCGGCACUGCUGACCACCACGCUGGGCCUGUCAUUGGCGUGAGAGUUCUCUGAAUGCGAGGGAGGGUCCCGGUGCACCAGGAUGCGUGGGAGGCUGCGGGCGUUACGGUUAGCCAGAUAUCGGUUCUGGGUGUAGGCCGGACGCCGACGUGUGGCCUUCUGCAGUUGACAGCGCCAGAUGAGGAAGAGCGCAAUGAUGAUGAGGAGAGCCACGCCCAGUAGGGGCACCACCAUGUACACAGCGUCCGACCGCUCCGAGCGGGAAUCAGCAUUGCUGUUCACUGUGUAGAUGCUGCGGUUUUUCCAGAACUCCAUCUAUGAAUGAAGUGAUAGAUGGUUAAAGCCACUUUCACAAAUUAAACUUAAAAUGCAGUGGCAUUCACACACCACCACCAGAACUCCAUUCCAAAGUUUUGGCAUUUUUUUUUUUUUUUUUUUUUUUUUUGACAUUCUGCUGUUAAACCUGAUUAUUUAGAAAAUAAGUUAAAAUAAUGCUGGUUUAUGGCUUCAACAAAAGCAUAUACCAUCAAUUAACGACCUUGAAAAAAAAAUCAGGCCUCUCUUUAAAGUUAAAACUGUUAAAAUAUUAUAAAUCCAAAAAUGUUUAAAAUAUCAUAUACAUUCCUUUUUUAUUUCCAUCACAGAAUGCUAUUAAACACAGUGGAACAGGAACUGAAAUAAAAAUGUUCAUGACUUAAAAAAAAAAUGG